UACGUAGGGUGCAAGCGUUAAUCGGAAUUACUGGGCGUAAAGCGUGCGCAGGCGGUGAUGUAAGACAGAUGUGAAAUCCCCCGGGCUCAACCUGGGAACUGCAUUUGUGACUGCAUCGCUGGAGUGCGGCAGAGGGGGGGGAUGGAAUUCCGCGUGUAGCAGUGAAAUGCGUAGAUAUCGAGAGGAACACCAGUGGCGAAGGCGAGUCCCUGGACAAAAACCUGACACUGAGGCACGAAAGCUAGGGGAGCAAACAGG
rnacentral:rRNA from 1 species